GAUGAACGCUGGCGGCGUGCCUAAUACAUGCAAGUCGAGCGAACGGACGAGAAGCUUGCUUCUCUGAUGUUAGCGGCGGACGGGUGAGUAACACGUGGAUAACCUACCUAUAAGACUGGGAUAACUUCGGGAAACCGGAUCUAAUACCGGAUGAUAUUUUGAACCGCAUGGUUCAAAAGUGAAAGACGGUCUUGCUGUCACUUAUAGAUGGAUCCGCGCUGCAUUAGCUAGUUGGUAAGGUAACGGCUUACCAAGGCAACGAUGCAUAGCCGACCUGAGAGGGUGAUCGGCCACACUGGAACUGAGACACGGUCCAGACUCCUACGGGAGGCAGCAGUAGGGAAUCUUCCGCAAUGGGCGAAAGCCUGACGGAGCAACGCCGCGUGAGUGAUGAAGGUUUUCGGAUCGUAAAACUCUGUUAUUAGGGAAGAACAUAUGUGUAAGUAACUGUGCACAUCUUGACGGUACCUAAUCAGAAAGCCACGGCUAACUACGUG
rnacentral:rRNA from 1 species